rnacentral:rRNA from 1 species
GACGAACGCUGGCGGCGUGCUUAACACAUGCAGGUCGAACGGAAAGGCCCUGCUUUUGUGGGGUGCUCGAGUGGCGAAUGGGUGAGUAACACGUGAGUAACCUGCCCUUGACUUUGGGAUAACUUCAGGAAACUGGGGCUAAUACCGGAUAGGAGCUCCUGCUGCAUGGUGGGGGUUGGAAAGUUUCGGCGGUUGGGGAUGGACUCGCGGCUUAUCAGCUUGUUGGUGGGGUAGUGGCUUACCAAGGCUUUGACGGGUAGCCGGCCUGAGAGGGUGACCGGCCACAUUGGGACUGAGAUACGGCCCAGACUCCUACGGGAGGCAGCAGUGGGGAAUAUUGCACAAUGGGCGGAAGCCUGAUGCAGCAACGCCGCGUGCGGGAUGACGGCCUUCGGGUUGUAAACCGCUUUCGCCUGUGACGAAGCGUGAGUGACGGUAAUGGGUAAAGAAGCACCGGCUAACUACGUG